GACACGAUGAGAUCAUUGCACAGCUGAACCACGAGGUAACGGCUACCCUAACAAGUCCAUCAGCUAGUGCCAGCAUGAUCCCACACAGACCCUUCAUGGCUUUCCUAUUUACUACACAUUGUCAGUAAAGAAGUUAUGUCCUCAAAUCUUCAAUGGAGACUAGAAGACAACUGUGUGAAGGCACAGCGGGCUCUGCUUGCAGAUUUCCAAGCAUUCAGAUAGAAGCAAAAUGAAACACAUGUACUCCAUGAGCAUACGGCUUAUUGCAAGAAACAGAACCUAUGAGAAACCAGAGGAGAUUUCUAUCAUGGAAAGCAGUGAAUUCCCCCAGAAUUAGGCCACAAUUCAUGGUCUGAAUUAUAAGAGCUGCUUGGGUCUGUCCAAGUCCAAUGUAUGGAUUACCUUGAUCCCCACUGCAACCCAGAAGCUUUCAGUUACCAGGAGCAGGACAACUGUGCUCGGAGAACAGCUUACCUGGUGCUGCUGUCAAAGAGAGAACUCAGGGCCUGACAUUUGUUCCACUGAUUCUCAAGGCUCCACGUGGACGGGCAGUCGUCACAUUGAUUCAUUUCUUCGCUGGAAGAGCUAAUAUAAGCUCCAAGACAGCAGGAAAUUUCACCGAUUUUGUUUAUGGCUGUAUCUUUACUGCCUAGAGUGGUACAUGCCAUGUGGUGCUGGUAUUUAAACAAGGCACAGUGCCUCUCAAAGGAAUGUAGCAGUAAUGGUGGAUUGCAACCAGAAGCCACAGAGGCAGAUCUGGAAAGGAAGGGGUACUCUUCUGAUCCUGAAAUCCUUUCCUGUAGCUACGCCUGGACUCUGGCUCCCACUAAGGACACUAGUGCUUUCCAUGAGCAACCACAGAUGACUCAGCACAGAUGAGGACAUCAAACUUGUCCACCAUCCGCCCAAGAAUGGCACAUCAAUUGAGGAAGUGUCCAAGGGCAGAUACAAAGUACAGUUUGGAGGCCAAAGUUGAUCAAUGAUGAGUUGAUCCUGAAUAUGGCAGUCGGAAUGGAGAGAUGGAUAAAUUUAAGAGCUAUGUGUGCAUUAAUGUGGACAGGAUUUAGAAGUGGAGAAGAUACUGAAGAUGAGGACAAGAAAAGUGGAAAGGAUCACGCUUAGUUUAUACUUUGUGGACUGUGACAAGUGAUUAUUGCCAUGAGACCAGCUUUGGCUUCUGCCAUAUUGGCCAACCUAGUUCUCCAUCCUGGAUGCACAUUAUAAUCACCUAAAUUUUU